ACCUGCGGAAGGAUCAUUAAGGAGUAUUUGCGGGAAAUCGAAAGAAAGUACCGCUCUCCCACCCGUGACUAUAUACUAUGUUGCUUUCCGGGCUUAAACCCCCGGAGAGGACCAAACUCUUGAAUUUAUUACUGUCUGAGUACUAUAUAAUAGUUAAAACUUUCAACAACGGAUCUCUUGGUUCUGGCAUCGAUGAAGAACGCAGCGAAAUGCGAUAAGUAAUGUGAAUUGCAGAAUUCAGUGAAUCAUCGAAUCUUUGAACGCACAUUGCGCCCCUUGGUAUUCCGGGGGGCAUGCCUGUUCGAGCGUCAUUAAUACCAAUCCCUUCGGGGGUCUUGGGGCUUGGGAUCUCCCAGCUCUUAAAAUCAGUGGCGGUGCCUCUCGGCUCUAAGCGUAGUAAUUCUUCUCGCUAUAGUCCCCGGGAGAACACUUGCCAUAACCCCCAUACUUUUAAGGNUGACCUCGGAUCAGGUAGGGAUACCCGCUGAACUUAAGCAUAUCAAUAA
rnacentral:rRNA from 1 species